UACGUAGGGUGCUAGCGUUGUCCGGAAUUAUUGGGCGUAAAGAGCUUGUAGGCGGUUUGUCGCGUCUGCUGUGAAAUUUCGGGGCUCAACCCCGAACUUGCAGUGGGUACGGGCAGACUAGAGUGUGGUAGGGGAGACUGGAAUUCCUGGUGUAGCGGUGAAAUGCGCAGAUAUCAGGAGGAACACCGAUGGCGAAGGCAGGUCUCUGGGCCACUACUGACGCUGAGAAGCGAAAGCAUGGGGAGCGAACAGG
rnacentral:rRNA from 1 species